GGUGCUUGAGGAUGGAAGCGGAGGAGGCACCAAUCCACCCACCCUCUGUCAGCACCAUGGUAGGGUUUGCAGAGUGAAGCUUCACCCGUCAGUUGAAGUGAGAUCUGGGCUGCACUGGUAUUUGCUGUUAGCUAAGACAUGUUUAAGAUGUGAACCCUUAGCUUCUGCUCCAGGUGCUAUGCCUGCCACCUGCUGCCCCGCCUCCUGGUCUUGCUGCACCCAUAUCCUCUGGAACCAUAAGCCAAAUAAAGUCUUCCCUCUGUAAGCUGCUCCUGGACAUGUUUUUGUUGUUGGUUGUUUGUUUUGUUUUGUUUUUUAAUCACACCAGCAGAGGAGUACCUAGUACUGAGAGACUCACCACGAAAUUUUGUAUCUGACAUGGGUAUACACAAAGGCCUAAUCUUCUAGAAUGAGCCCAAGACAAGGUUGUGGGAGACAGCUAUUUCUUU
rnacentral:lncRNA from 1 species